rnacentral:ncRNA from 1 species
AGAGAUAGAGGUUGCGUGUUUUAAGAGUAUCUUUUUGGAUGUGUCAGGCACAGAAGAAGGAGAGGGAAAGGAAAACGCGCCGAAGGGGAAGCUCUCCCUGAAGGGUUUCUUUCUGGGCAUACAUUUAAGAGGUGUAUGACUGUCAUCUGGUUAGAUGGAGUGCUAUCGUG